rnacentral:rRNA from 1 species
UACGUAGGGUGCAAGCGUUAAUCGGAAUUACUGGGCGUAAAGCGUGCGCAGGCGGUUCUGUAAGUCUGUCGUGAAAUCCCCGGGCUUAACCUGGGAAUUGCGAUGGAGACUGCAAGGCUAGAAUCUGGCAGAGGGGGGUAGAAUUCCACGUGUAGCAGUGAAAUGCGUAGAGAUGUGGAGGAACACCGAUGGCGAAGGCAGCCCCCUGGGCCAAUACUGACGCUCAUGCACGAAAGCGUGGGGAGCAAACAGG